rnacentral:tRNA from 1 species
GGGCCUAUAGCUCAGUUGGUUAGAGCAACGGACUCAUAAUCCGUUGGUCCCAGGUUCAAGUCCUGGUGGGCCCA